CUACGUGCCAGCAGCCGCGGUAAUACGUAGGGGGCAAGCGUUAUCCGGAAUAACUGGGCGUAAAGGGUGCGCAGGUGGUUUAACAAGUUAGUGGUGAAAGGCAUAGGCUCAACCAAUGUAAGCCAUUAAAACUGUUUAACUUGAGUGCAGGAGAGGAAAGUGGAAUUCCUAGUGUAGCGGUGAAAUGCGUAGAUAUUAGGAGGAAUACCAGUGGCGAAGGCGACUUUCUGGACUGCAACUGACACUGAGGCACGAAAGCGUGGGGAGCAAACAGGAUUAGAUACCCUGGUAGUCCACGCCGUAAACGAUGAGUACUAGGUGUCGGGUGAAGAACUCGGUGCCGAAGUUAACACAUUAAGUACUCCGCCUGGGGAGUACGCUCGCAAGAGUAAAACUCAAAGGAAUUGACGGGGACCCGCACAAGCAGCGGAGCAUGUGGUUUAAUUCGAAGCAACGCGAAGAACCUUACCUAAACUUGACAUACCAAUGACAGCCUU
rnacentral:rRNA from 1 species